rnacentral:rRNA from 1 species
UGGGGGAUAUUGCACAAUGGGCGAAAGCCUGAUGCAGCGACGCCGCGUGGGGGAUGAAGGCCUUCGGGUUGUAAACUUCUUUUGCUCUGAACAAGGCAUGCUAAUGGGUGUGUUGAGUGUAGGGGUUGAUUAGCGCCGGCUAACUACGUGCCAGCAGCCGCGGUAAUACGUAGGGCGCGAGCGUUGUCCGGAAUUAUUGUGCGUAAAGGGCUUGUAGGUGGCUGGUUGCGUCUGUCGUGAAAGCUCAUGGCUGAACUGUGGGUUUGCGGUGGGUACGAGCUGGCUUGAGUGGAGUAGGGGAGGCUGGAAGUCCUGGUGUAGCGGUGGAAUGCGCAGAUAUCAGGAGGAAUACCGGUGGCGGAGGCGGGUCUCUGGGCUGUUACUGACACUGAGGAGCGAAAGCAUGGGGGGCGAACAGG